rnacentral:tRNA from 1 species
AAGGAUGAAGCUAAAAAGCAUUUAACUGUUAAUUAAAAAUAGUAUACUUUACAAUAUACCUUCCUUG